GUGCUCAGUUCGGCAGCACAUACACUAAAAUUAGAAUGAUACAGAGAAGAUUCACAUGGCACAUGUGCAAGGAUGACACACAAAUUUGUGAAGCGAUCCAUAUAUAU
ensembl:snRNA U6 U6 spliceosomal RNA